CUCCGUACCUUAGCAUAAAAUUAUCGUAUUGCUGGAUUUUUCACAAAAAUCAAAACGGCCGAAAUGGAAAGUCUAUACCUCUACUUAUCAUAUUUGGCACUUUUGUUUGAGUGGUUCUUGACCUUACGUGUUUUUGCGGACGGAUUGUUAUGUCUGCUUGGCAUUUCACAUUGCGCUCCUAAGACAAACUUCCUUUGAGGUAAAACGCAUAAACAUUUCGAGCCGAUGUCGACACAUCGUGGUCGUUGCCUACAAGAAAGUCGUCAUGUUCUGCAAGAACGUCGUCAAUAAUCUAAAAUUAUAAAAUUGUCCUCAAUUUGAUGCUACACUUGUGGGUUCCACAGAGUAUUCAAAAAUCGUGGGUACAGCA